rnacentral:lncRNA from 1 species
CACCAGCAGUGAAUGAGAGUUCCUGUUGCUCCACAUCCUUACCAGCAUUUGGCGUUGUCCAGUGUUCCAGAUUUCGGUCAUUCUAAUAGAUGGGAGGCUGAGUAAAAAAUUGAUUGUUCAGUCUUAUAUGGCAGAUUGACAAAAUUUAAAGCAUAUUAUAGGGAAAUAAUGGAGGAAAAGUUGAGGAGGUCUCCCCAAAUCCAAGAUAAAAGAUAUUAGCAGAAGUGUUGAAGCAGACUUUCAAACCACACAGCUAGCACCAAUAACCACAGGAAUUGCUACCUCCAAGGGCAGAGGCGAUGUUGGAAUCCUGCAGUACACACCACUCCUCAUCUAACCAAUCAGAAAGCACUAUGCAAAUUAAAGUAAAGGUAAAUAAAUUUAUAUUGACUGAGCAAUAAUCUGGUGGACCAUAAACACUCCAGGUGUUGAAGAGUUUUGUCAGCUAUGGUCCCUGUGUAAUGACAUACUCACCAAAUUGGCUCAUUUUCUUUUGCUUAGUAACACAGGGCUCAGAGUGUUAUAUUUUAAAUGAGUCAAACCUUGUCACACUGGCUCUCUGAAAGACUUUGAGAGUGCCCAGGGGUUGCUUGCUUGCAUUUAUUCUGUUCUCUGCACUAAGAUCUCACGACUUGUCUUUUUCCCGAACAAAAGAGGUUUCUUCAGCUCUAAGAAAGGUCUCUGGACGGGGAGGAGAGGUAGGCAAUGAUGGACCUAGUCCCAGGGCAAGGGACAGGCUUGUCACCACCACCUCCUCGGAGACCCAGUCUGCCUGUGGCCACUGCUCUUCCCAGUGUAUUCCCUUUUAGCAUUUGACUUUAAGAUACAAAUUUAAAGAAAUUAAGGGAUUGACAAAACAGCUCCAAAUAUUGGUGAGAUGCCACUAGGUGACUGGACCACAUGACAAAAGGUUGUAGAGAUCUUUAUUCUUGACCAAAAGAAGGCCUGUCUGCCCCCACUCCCACCCUGUAAGAUAAAAGGCAUCUGGAUAAGGGAUAAGUUGAUGCCCCUGUAACUAAAGAAAGUGACCUGCUUUGGCCUCUAGAACUUCGACAGGCCAUUGGUGCCAUUCCCAAGGGUAGUGCUGACACCCUCUGGGGCAGAUGUGACAUGUAUUUGACAAGCAGUGGUCCUGUCUUCUGAUUAAGCAGGUGAAGCAGAACUUCCAGAGGCCAGGAUGGCAGCCUGGACAUCACUCCUGUGCUUUCUCCUCUGGUCCAACACCAACCUCCAGCCUCUGUCAGCUGGGAGAUCUGAGUGACUCAUGGGUGAGGGCAAUCCCAUUCUGUCUUCUAACAGAAUCUAAAUCUUUGCUGUCCUACAUGGUAGCCAGUAGCCACAUGUGGUUAUUGAGCCAUGGAAAUAUGGCUGGUCCAAACUGAGAUGUUUUCUAAGAACAAAAUUCACAUUGGAUCUUGAAGACUUCAUUGGGGAAAAAAGAACGUAAAAUAUUUCAGUAAUUUUUUAUAUUGAUGCCAUGUUGAAACAAUAAUAUUU